CCUGUAUUCACCGCACCCCUCGACAAAGAGUAAAAGUACCCCUGAUUUUCGUUCCUUUUCGUUCCUUUUCAUUCCAGAACCGCCGGUUCAUCGUUUCGUAAAUUCGUAGAGUGGUCGAAGCGCACAUUUUGAAAAGUCGCAGUGGGACGAGGAGGAAGAAAAUUAGAAAACGCGUCUUUUACGCAUUGAGGAGAGCGCGCGGACGGAUGCGGAUGUCAGACGGCCCGGAGAGCACCAUCUUCACUGUGUUACCUGGAAAUGUUUCACCCUGCUUUUUUUGCCGUGUUUCUGUCUCGCGGAAUACGCGGAACACGCCUGUCCUACCUGGCAGCGCGCAGAUGCCCUCCGGUCCAGGCACGCGGUGAGCCCCGAAGGUCUCCAGAUGUCUCCAGGUGCCCUCUCACCUCCUUCGGUUUAUAAUCACGUUGUGCACGUGAUGUCCCGACACCGUAACAACGUACUAAGCUCAGAUGAAGCAAGUACAAAGAAAAAAAAUGUUACGAGUUGCAGCGGCUCAGCAAGAAGCAGGGGAGAAAAAAGCAACUGUAGAGAGUAACCACGAUUGACUGUCAAAGUGGAGGUUCCGCACAUGUUGGCUGCAGGUCCGACUCGGUGGAGCCACCCGGAGCGCUUUCGUUUCAUCGCGAGGAAAGUGUGAGUCAGUCGAAGGAAACAAACGGACUUUUUGCGCACUUUAUGGAAAGUUGCAGCCUACAUCAUGAUUUCAGAACUAAACACUCCAUUGAGAAGCAGGCUGUAGGUGCAGUCGGUGUUGUUAUUACUGAGAAGAAUCUGUGCGCUUUUUUAUUUCAAGGGAUUUCUUGGACGUUUAGUUAGACAACAUCU
rnacentral:lncRNA from 1 species